rnacentral:rRNA from 1 species
AACGAACGCUGGCGGCAGGCCUAACACAUGCAAGUCGAGCGCCCCGCAAGGGGAGCGGCAGACGGGUGAGUAACGCGUGGGAACGUACCUUUUGGUUCGGAACAACUCCGGGAAACUGGAGCUAAUACCGGAUAAGCCCUAACGGGGAAAGAUUUAUCGCCGAAAGAUCGGCCCGCGUCUGAUUAGCUAGUUGGUGAGGUAACGGCUCACCAAGGCGACGAUCAGUAGCUGGUCUGAGAAGAUGAUCAGCCACACUGGGACUGAGACACGGCCCAGACUCCUACGGGAGGCAGCAGUGGGGAAUAUUGGACAAUGGGCGCAAGCCUGAUCCAGCCAUGCCGCGUGAGUGAUGAAGGCCUUAGGGUUGUAAAGCUCUUUUGUCCGGGAAGAUAAUGACUGUACCGGAAGAAUAAGCCCCGGCUAACUUCGUG